rnacentral:rRNA from 1 species
GACGAACGCUGGCGGCGUGCCUAAUACAUGCAAGUCGAACGCAGUGGGGACGGGUGAGUAACACGUGGGUAACCUCCCCUCAGAGGUGAUAACCCUUGGAAACAUGUGCUAAACCGAUACUGAUGGAUGGACCCGCGGUGCAUUAGCUAGUGGGUGAGGUAACGGCUCACCAAGGCCACGAUGCAUAGCCGACCGGAGAGGAUGAUCGGCCACACUGGGACUGAGACACGGUCCAGACUCCUACGGGAGGCAGCAGUGGGGAAUAUUGCACAAUGGGCGAAAGCCUGAUACAGCCAUGCCGCGUGUAUGAAGAAGGCCUUCGGGUUGUAAAGUACUUUAAGCGGGGAGGCGUUACCCGCAGAAGAAGCACCGGCUAACUCCGUGCCAGCAGCCGCGGUAAUUC